UGAAGUCAACUGGUCCCCAGACAUAAGGU
rnacentral:sRNA from 1 species